UCAAGCUACAAAGAGCGCAAGGGGAAUGCCUUGGCACUGAGAGCCGAAGAAGGACGCGGCAAACUGCGAAAAGCUAUGGGGAGCCGUAAGCAGGCAUUGAUCCAUAGAUGUCCGAAUGGAGCAAUCCGGCUGGAGUCAUGUCCAGCCACCGUGAAGUGAAUUCAUAGCUUCACGGGGGGAACCGCCUGAACUGAAACAUCUAAGUAGGGCGAGGAAGAGAAAUCAAUUGAGAUUCCGCCAGUAGUGGCGAGCGAACGCGGAAGAGGCCAAACCGGGGGUAGCAAUAUCUCCGGGGUUAGGACGGCGUAAGGUACGUCGAGGGAUAGCAGAAUGGCAUGGGAAGGCCAACGAGACAGUGUGAAAGUCACGUAUGCGAAAUUCCGAGACGGCCGGCCGGAUCCAGAGUACCGCCGGACACGUGAAACCCGGUGGGAAGAUGGGGGGACCACCCUCCAAGCCUAAAUACUACUCAGUGACCGAUAGUGCACAGUACUGUGAAGGAAAGGUGAAAAGGACCCCGGGAGGGGAGUGAAAUAGAACCUGAAACCUUGUGCUUACAAGCACCGAGAGCCCGUCAAAGGGUGAUCGGGUACCUUUUGUAGAAUGGUCCGGCGAGUGAAUGUGACUGGCGAGGUUAAGGACUUUAAGGUCUGGAGCCGCAGCGAAAGCAAGUCUGAACAGGGCGUAUGAAGUCAGUUGUAUUCGACCCGAAACCGGGUGACCUACCCAUGUCCAGGUUGAAGUGGAGGUAAAACUCCAUGGAGGACCGAACCGACUCCCGUUGAAAUGGUAGCGGAUGAGGUGUGGGUAGCGGAGAAAUUCCAAUCGAACCCGGAGAUAGCUGGUUCUCUCCGAAAUAGCUUUAGGGCUAGCCUCGCAUUAGAUUUCCGGAGGUAAAGCACUGAAUGAGCUAGGGGCCGAAAGGUUACUGAACUCUAUCAAACUCAGAAUGCCGGAAAAUUGAUGUGCGGGAGUCAGACAGUGUGAGAUAAGUUUCAUUGUCAAAAGGGAAACAGCCCAGACCCACAGCUAAGGUCCCGAAAUAUGGUUAAGUGGAAAAGGAUGUGGGGGUGCACAGACAACCAGGAUGUUGGCUCAGAAGCAGCCAUUCAUUAAAAGAGUGCGUAAUAGCUCACUGGUCGAGUGCCCCUGCGCCGAAAAUUUACCGGGGCUAAAUCAUAUACCGAAGCUUGGGAUAGUGCCUUUGGCACUAUGGUAGGAGAGCGUUGUGUAAGGGGUGAAGUCAGAGCGGAAGCGCUGGUGGACUUUACACAAGAGAGAAUGCCGGAAUGAGUAGCGAGAAAUAUGUGAGAAUCAUAUUGGCCGAAAGUCUAAGGUUUUUGGAGGAAGGUUCGUCCGCUCCAAGUGAGCCGGGAGCUAAGGUGAGGCCGAAAGGCGUAGCCGAUGCACAUACGGUGGAAAUUCCGUAGCCGCCAAAAGAUUUAAGUAAGAUGACACCUUGAAAGGGCAUAACCCGGGCGUUGGUAGACCCGGGCGCAAGGGACCGAAAUCAGAGUAGGGAAGUAUGCUUGGACGAGGGCGAGAAAAGUCUUAUGGAUAUCUGAGGCGCCCGUACCGCAAACCGACACAGGUAGACAGGAAGAAGAUUCCAAGGCCAACGGGAGAAGGGUAGUUAAGGAACUCGGCAAAUUGACCCCGUAACUUAGGGAAAAGGGGUGCCACAGCGAUGUGGCCGCAGAGAAUAGGCCCAGGCGACUGUUUAGCAAAAACACAGGUUUCUGCCAAAUCGAAAGAUGACGUAUAGGAGCUGACACCUGCCCGGUGCUGGAAGGUUAAGAGGAGAUGUGCAAGCAUUGAAUUGAAGCCCCAGUAAACGGCGGCCGUAACUAUAACGGUCCUAAGGUAGCGAAAUUCCUUGUCGGGUAAGUUCCGACCCGCACGAAUGGUGUAACGAUCUGGGCACUGUCUCGAUUACCCGCCCGGCGAAAUUGUAGUACCGGUGAAGAUGCCGGUUACCCGCGACAAGACGGAAAGACCCCAUGGAGCUUUACUGCAGCUUAAUAUUGGGUUUUGAUCAUUUAUGUACAGGAUAGGCGGGAGGCUAGGAAACCGUGGCGCCAGCCGCGGCGGAGUCACCCUUGGGAUACCGCCCUUAAGUGGUUGAAAUUCUAACCUGCGGCCGUGAAUCCGGCCGGGGGACAUUGUUAGGCGGGCAGUUUGACUGGGGCGGUCGCCUCCAAAAAGGUAACGGAGGCGCUCAAAGGUCAGCUCAGCACGGACGGAAACCGUGCCAUAGAGUGUAAACGCGUAAGCUGGCCUAACUGCGAGGGCGACGGCCCGAGCAGUAACGAAAGUUGGAGUUAGUGAUCCGGCGGUAUGAAAGUGGAAUUGCCGUCGCUCAACGGAUAAAAGCUACCCUGGGGAUAACAGGCUGAUCUCCCCCAAGAGUCCACAUCGACGGGGAGGUUUGGCACCUCGAUGUCGGCUCAUCACAUCCUGGGGCUGUAUUCGGUCCCAAGGGUUCGGCUGUUCGCCGAUUAAAGUGGUACGCGAGCUGGGUUCAGAACGUCGUGAGACAGUUCGGUCCCUAUCUGUCGUGGGCGCAGGAUAUUUGAGGAGAGCUGUCCUUAGUACGAGAGGACCGGGAUGGACGCACCGCUGGCGCACCAGUUGUCAUGCCAAUGGCACAGCUGGGCAACUAAGUGCGGAUCGGAUAAACGCUGAAAGCAUCUAAGCGUGAAGCCGGCUCCAAGAUAAGAUAUCCCACAGCGUAAAGCUGGUAAGACCCCUUGAGGACUACAAGGUUGAUAGGCUGCAUGUGUAAGCACGGCAACGUGCUCAGCUUGGCAGUACUAAUAGGUCGAGGGCUUGACCAU
rnacentral:rRNA from 1 species